ACAGUAUACCAUCCCUUGGGAAGAAUGCCAAAGAGGAAUCUUUGGAGUGGCCUGCCCUGAGGUAAAUGAGAUGAUUAGCAGGGCAGAGUGUUGUAGAUUGCUGAAGACAUGCCAUAAAAAAUAGUUGCCAAACAUUGUUCUGAGAUGAGGAGGGAGGACAAGAUGGAGGAAGCCAGGGUGGACGAGGCUGUGUCGAUGUGGCAGAUAGGCAGUGGUGUGGGGGUCUUAGUGUGUCCAGUGGUCCUGGAAAGAUCUGAUAGCAGAACUGAGGUGGAAAUAGCAGCACGAGUUUGACAGACUGUGUGUGGUCACUAUGUCAGAGGUGGUUCUGAGCAUUAUCUUGAAGAGUGUGCUCACUACUGUCGAGGUAACUGGAUGUGCGGUCCAGCAUGAAAUAUUUUGGUUGACCGCAGAGUGGGGCAAAUGAACUCACAAGAGCAAGGAGGAGCCGUUAUCCCCUGCUGCAAAACUGUGCACUUUCUGAUGAGCCAUGCUGGAGUGCUCUUGGGCAGAGCAGGAGUGGGAGAGAGCAGAAGUGAUCUGAUUAUCCCAUGGAGACCAGGCAGGCCAACCUUUCCCAGAACCAUGUGGACGGUUCCAACUGUAACGUUGGCAUGUGCUUUUUUCAUGUGUCCCCAGUGUUGAAAUCAUUGUGUGGCAUGGCCGGAGUGCAGAGAGAGUUGCACCUCAUCUUUAGCCUAGGCUGGAGGAAAGUGCCUGGGCCACCAGUGAAGUUUCAUGGCUCUGUGGACACGAACGGGAAAGCACGGAGUUGAAGUGUUGAAAUCAUUGUGUGGCAUGGCCGGAGUGCAGAGAGAGUUGCACCUCAUCUUUAGCCUAGGCUGGAGGAAAGUGCCUGGGCCACCAGUGAAGUUUCAUGGCUCUGGGGACACGAACGGGAAAGCACGGAGUUGAAGUGUUGAAAUCAUUGUGUGGCAUGGCCGGAGUGCAGAGAGAGUUGCACCUCAUCUUUAGCCUAGGCUGGAGGAAAGUGCCUGGGCCACCAGUGAAGUUUCAUGGCUCUGGGGACACGAACGGGAAAGCACGGAGUUGAAGUGUUGAAAUCAUUGUGUGGCAUGGCCGGAGUGCAGAGAGAGUUGCACCUCAUCUUUAGCCUAGGCUGGAGGAAAGUGCCUGGGCCACCAGUGAAGUUUCAUGGCUCUGUGGACACGAACGGGAAAGCACGGAGUUGAAGUGUUGAAAUCAUUGUGUGGCAUGGCCGGAGUGCAAAGAGAGUUGCACCUCAUCUUUAGCCUAGGCUGGAGGAAAGUGCCUGGGCCACCAGUGAAGUUUCAUGGCUCUGUGGACACGAACGGGAAAGCACGGAGUUGAAGUGUUGAAAUCAUUGUGUGGCAUGGCCGGAGUGCAGAGAGAGUUGCACCUCAUCUUUAGCCUAGGCUGGAGGAAAGUGCCUGGGCCACCAGUGAAGUUUCAUGGCUCUGGGGACACGAACGGGAAAGCACGGAGUUGAAGUGUUGAAAUCAUUGUGUGGCAUGGCCGGAGUGCAGAGAGAGUUGCACCUCAUCUUUAGCCUAGGCUGGAGGAAAGUGCCUGGGCCACCAGUGAAGUUUCAUGGCUCUGGGGACACGAACGGGAAAGCACGGAGUUGAAGUGUUGAAAUCAUUGUGUGGCAUGGCCGGAGUGCAGAGAGAGUUGCACCUCAUCUUUAGCCUAGGCUGGAGGAAAGUGCCUGGGCCACCAGUGAAGUUUCAUGGCUCUGUGGACACGAACGGGAAAGCACGGAGUUGAAGUGUUGAAAUCAUUGUGUGGCAUGGCCGGAGUGCAGAGAGAGUUGCACCUCAUCUUUAGCCUAGGCUGGAGGAAAGUGCCUGGGCCACCAGUGAAGUUUCAUGGCUCUGGGGACACGAACGGGAAAGCACGGAGUUGAAGUGUUGAAAUCAUUGUGUGGCAUGGCCGGAGUGCAGAGAGAGUUGCACCUCAUCUUUAGCCUAGGCUGGAGGAAAGUGCCUGGGCCACCAGUGAAGUUUCAUGGCUCUGGGGACACGAACGGGAAAGCACGGAGUUGAAGUGUUGAAAUCAUUGUGUGGCAUGGCCGGAGUGCAGAGAGAGUUGCACCUCAUCUUUAGCCUAGGCUGGAGGAAAGUGCCUGGGCCACCAGUGAAGUUUCAUGGCUCUGGGGACACGAACGGGAAAGCACGGAGUUGAAGCCCACCAACACCCGCAGUGUCCUUGAGUGUCAGUGCUGAAUAUCUCUGUGCAAGUGCACCACAGCAUGCGUGGAUCGAUGAUGAUUCCCAGUCAAACAUUCCUUGGAAAAGCUGAACAAAAUGAGUGAAAACUCAAUACCGCCGCUCUCAUCGGGACUGAGGUCCAGCAACUUGGGUCACCCAAGUCCUCCAGGAGUCAGACACAGGCUCAGGAACCACUCCAUUGCUCCUGCCCGACUCCAGCAGUAGCCAGACUCCAUAACCAUGGCCUGGUUCUUUCCCCACUCUGCCAGCAAUCUUGGCCAUGGGCUCAGAAUGGAUUGCUGAGCAUCCUUUGUCCAGUGCUAGAGGCAUGUGACUCUGCCUCCGGUGAAGUAACAUGUCGCUGCGGACAUUAAUUGAAAAGGCCAGAAGAUGAAGGAGGCAUGUGCCUGUGCUGUGUUGAAGUUACUUUGUCUUGGGGACAUUCUUGAGAAGAUCAUAAGAUGAAGUUAAAGGAGUCAAAUGAAGAAAGAUGCCUCAAAAGGUAGCAGAAAAGAACAAGAGUAAACAAAAUAUAGGUGAAGACACACACAAAUGAAGAAGACUAACCAUCCACAAAAGGAAAAAUCCACUCUCAUUUAGAAGACUGGUGUUAUGUUGCUGAAGGUUCUCCCUCCUCUAAUUGAGAAUUUGUUGGUUUGAGGAAAGAUACAAUGGCUAAAUGGUCUGCAAUUGUUAUACAAGCAUGGCUUGAUGUGACCCCAAAGUUUUUAAGUCAGUUCAUCAUCAGGGAGUAACUGGCAGGUGAAAAUGCUUACAAGACUUUUGUGUUAACUUGCCAGGGUUUUGCCUCAGGUCAGAAGGGUGAGGAAGAACCCUGGAAAUUCAACAACUGUAUUAUUUAUAUAUUGCCCCACUCCUUAUCUGUCUGCCUCCCUGGGCAUUUGUGUAAUACCUACUCUCAAUUUCAGCAAAAUAUAUACAUGCAUUAUCUGGGUCAAGGGUAGAGAAGGUUUAAGCAAAUAGGCUGAAUACAUAGUAGGAUAGCAUGCUUGAUUGUAUUGUUAACCUUGAAUGAGAGGCUCAGCAAAUGACCCAUUCCUUUAGAAUUUAAGUGGCAUUUUUUUCAUAAUGUAUCUUCACUUUAAAUAUUUUGGAAGGAGUUAAAAAAGGACAUCUAUCAAAUUAGGAUCCUACAUAAAAUGCCUUUAACCAAACUAAGGGUGGUUCGAGAGCCUCAGAAAGAACACAAAAACAAUCCACAUGAGGAAAUAACACCAGAUGGCCUAAAUUCAGUGAGUCCACAUAGGUUCCUGGCUUCCAAUCAAAUGAUUCAUGCAGAAGAAACACAGAACCAUUUUGGAGUCCUAACUUGUAGCCCAACACUUCUUGAGCCCUUUGCUUUAGCACCUUGCACACUUGGGAGUGAUCGUGAUCAACCAAUGAAUUCUGUUCUUAUUGCUAAACAUGUGACCCUGGAACAGCUCUAGCAAAAACUGAUGCUCCCUGAUCAUGGACGAGUACCAAAUGCCAUAGGGAGGGAAAGAAUCACUGAUCUCUUAAAUGGAGUGCCUCAGAGUUUCGGCAGUCCUCUCCAAGGUAGCUUGGAGAGCUACCUUGCUAUUUAUAAGAGCUUCAGGGAAAUUGAAAUGAGAAGGAAGGAAGAUAUACUGGCAUCAUGUUUGUCCUUGUUCUUGAAAAGGAGAGAUCUGAGUGUACUUUGUGCCCUUCUCAUUCAUAGUUAUUAGAGAUUCCAGAUAUAAAUCUUAGCUCCUGACUUGAUAUCAGGAGAUAAUAAUUACUUAUUAUUUAUUGCUGUAGUUCUGACUUUAGAGGUCACCUGAUGGAAUUUCUAGUUUCUUGGAUUCCCAAAACAAGGAAAUGUACCAAGGGCAUGUAUCUAGUUAUUAAGAGGAAAAAGCACUCACCAGAGUAGAAUUAGGUCAGAGAUUUGGGAAAUAGGAGAAACUUAUUUAAAGUUCAUUUAUAUUUUUUCAAGUACAUUCUCUGUUGACUACAUUCAUGUUGGUGUCAGUCUUUCUAAAAACUGGCAAUUUUUAUGUUAAUUUUAAUGAAACUUUCCUCAUUGGUGCCGCUACCCCUUUCUUUUCAUUUGUUGUUUUAUACUUUGGCUAGGUAAGGUUGUAAAUAACUCUAUAGUCCUUGUCAAGGUACAGUACUGUCCAUUUUCCUGAAAAUGAAUUUGGUCCUUUGACUUCCAGCAGGAAUUUCAGAUUUUUCUACUUGCAUCAGUAGGGUCAUGGGAAAAUUCACAUUUCUUUCUUUGUAUUCUUCUUUUAUACAUUACAUCUUGACCAGUUUCACCUCGAACCAUUUCUCCCAGUCCCUCUAACCUUUUCCAUCAGAUCCAGUGCUCCUUCACUUCCCUUCAUAAAAGAGCAGACCCUCCAGGUGUAGAAAACAAACACAGCAUAAUAAGUUCAAAUAAGACCAGGCACAAACCUCAUAACAAUACAACACAAAGCAACCUGGUAGGAGGAAAAAUGUCCGGACUCAGGCAAGAAUCAGAUAUAUCCUCCAUUCCCAUUGUUUCGAGUUGCACAGGAACUCCAACCUUUGCAAACAUAACAUACUGAGCCUCUGUGAUUCUCAAUUCAGACUCUGUGAGUCCGUAUGUGCCUUGCUUAGUUGAUAUUGUGGGCCAUGUUCUUAUGGGAUCCUUGACCCACCUGGCUCCUCUCCCUCUUCUGUAGGGCUGCUCAAGUCCCACAUAAUGAUUUUGGAAAUGCCUUACAUAACUUUGUGUUUAAUAGUCCUAUUGCCAAUGGACUCUCAGCACAAUUGUCUGAUAUACAGUGACUUGUUGCCCGCUAAGUUCUCCCUACUCUCACCAAAGUGAUCUACACUGUUAGUUACUGAAAUUAACAAGAAAAUUGCAAUAAAAAACACAACUUAAUAGGAGGAGAUUUUGCAUGAUUCUUGUGGAAACACAAAAGGCAUAUACAUUCAAAUCAACCUUUAUGUAAUUGAAAACUAGACAAGUCAUAUAUUGUUGAUUUUACAGGAUGAGAAUAGGAACACUACCACAAAUUUUGAGUGAAAUUUGAAGUAAGCUCUAUUAAAUAUUGGUCAGAAGAUAGACAUUGGCCAGGUCCAUGUCUAUAAUUACCAAAGAAUGGCCAGGAAUUAUGUUAUGUGCUGAUAAAGACAAAACCCAUAAGACUACAUAUUUCCAAUCUGGUGCAGGCAUACAUCCUGAUGUUUUUUUCUGCCUACCUACCUCCCACCUGUGUAUGAUCAAGCAUUUCCUGUGCUGUUGAUGCCAAAAACAUUGUUUAUAGAAAUGGAACCUUAUGACUGACUUGUUUGUUACCUUUUAUGAACUUCCCAGCAUUCUAGAAAUUUAUAUGUCCUUAGCAAGUAGGGUUUACGUGUUAGAAGCAUUAUUGUUUCAUAUAUCUCUUAAGCACAGUAAUUUAAACUUUAAACAACUUUAGCCCUCACAGUUUCUUGAUUUCAAAUAUACUAAAAGAUAAUCCAAAUAACCUAAGAGCAGGCACACCAGCCAGUGACACAGAAAUAUUGCCAAGUAACUUUUACUUUGGUUUCAAAAGAGACACUAGUAAAUCAGUGCUGUUGAGAAACUAGGUAUCCAUUUGCAAUAUAUUGAAGUAAUACACUUGUUUCAUACUGUGUGUGAAAUAAAUUUAAUGAAUUAAAACUUUAAAGGUAAACUUGAACCUGUAAAAUUACUGAAAGAAAACAAGAGUAAAAUGUGACUUCCCAAACAAGAAAAACAAAAGCAAACAACAACAAAAUGACAUACAAAUAGUAUAACCCAAAUCUAUAAAACUUCUUCAUAGCAACAUAUGUAAUGUUCAGAAUGAAGAAACAGUCUACAGAAUAAAAAAAUUAUAAACCAUUUGUCUGAUAAGGUUUGGUUAGCUAUGUAUAAGGUAUUAGACAACUAAAAUAUGAUAAAGUGAUUUAAAAAUGAAAAGAAGAUAUAGAUUAAAUCAUAGUCAGCAAACAUAUGGACAGACAAUGUAAAUCAAAAAUUGAGCUAAAUACUACUUCAAUUGUAUUUGAAUGACUCUUAUCAAAUACAGAAAAAAAUAGGAAGAGUUACUGAGGAUGCGAAAUUUGUUGGGGUAUUUAAGUCAAGUAUUGAAAGACAGAAGGCAGAAAGAAAGGCUUAGUCUGACCUUAGGCGGGAUCAUGUUUAUUCAAGGCAAAGGGACAUCUUUCACCCACAUGUGUAGAUGGCCACAUCUUUUAUCAUGAAACUAUCUAAGACAAGGAAAAGUUACAUGUAUUACAUGUAUUUAUAUGGUAGGAAUUUAAAUGAAUGCAGUCAUUAUGAAAAGUAGCAUGGAUUCAGCCUAAAAAUAUCAAUGUAUAUCUACCAUGUGUUCAGCAAAUCCAUUCUUCAAGAUAUAUUUACAGCCAAUGAAAUUGGUAUAUUGAAGAAGUACUGAAAUCUCAUUUACUUCAGACUCAUUCACAAUUAUAACACAGACACAACCUAACUAUCCAUUGGGAAAUGAAUAGCUAAUUAAGACAAUUAUUAUGCCUAUACAGCUUAUUUGGGUCUAUUAUUUGUACUGGUCCUUUUUCUUACAUCUAAUGCAUAUGUGAUUUUCUACCGCUUCAGUUGUUUCAAGAGAAUGCAAUACUGGCUAAAGUAGUGUUAGCAUGACUUUUAAAAUCUUUAUGCAACAAACACAAUGCUUAAUCUGAGGGUGGUUGUCACCAGUUGAUUGACUUCUUAGUCUAUUCAUGGUUUUUCUUGAAUUUUUCUUGUGCAUAUUCUAUUCAUGAUGUUUCUUGGACUUAUAAUUUUUCUAGGUAUUAUUUAGUAGAUGGCAUGUUGUUUUCUUGUUAGUUUUUAGUAUUAGGGAAUUCAGAUCCCACAUAUAUGUAUUCAGUGAAUGUUUGAAUAAGAAUUGUUCCCUGUGGGUUACAUAUAUUUGAACACUUGGUGGUGCUGGUGCUGUUUGAGAGGGGUUUCUAGAAUCUUUGGAUGUGGAUUUCUGUUGGAAGUGCAAUUUGAGAGUUUAUGGCCUCUCUAUAUCUCCACUUUUCUCUCUCUGACUUGUGAUUGUAGUUGAGGAUAUGAUCUCUCAGCUCCUAGCUACAAGUGACUGCUGUCAUGCCUCCGCUAUCAGUAAGAUCUUUUCUUCUGAACCAUAAGCCAAAACAAUCUCCUUACACUAUAAGGUGCUACUGAUCAUGCCAUUUUUUUACAGAAAAAAUUACUUUAUUUAUCUGGUGUUCCUAUAGCGAUAUGUGAGAUCAAAUAGUUAUACAUGACUUGGAUGACUUUCCCCUGUAAAUAAAGUAGAAAAUAAAGAACAUAGGAGUGAAGAGAACCUACCAAAUGGUCUCACCAAAUGUAUCAAAAAGGCUCCAGAUAAUGCCAACAGUAAAGAGAGUCCUAUUCAGUUUGAACAGUUAGAGAAUGUAAUGUACAUAUUCCCUCAAUUUUUCUCUGUUAUUGCAUCUCAACAUGAAUUUAUCAUUGAGAAGUACAGAGAAGUGAUAGUGAAUAUAAUCAGGUAAUACAAAACUUAAAGGUUAAGUGGGAACCAUCAUAAGGUAUAAAAUCUCUAUGAUAUUAUUGAUUCUUUUCAGAAAACCACAGCACUACCUGUGAAAGGGAGCCAUGAGUCUGGUCAUCAACUAUGACAUGACUCAUGGUCUGCCAGAUAUAUUAAGUUAAAGGUCACUUUUAAUAAUACUAUUACUGACAAUGUGUACUAUCAGAAAUAGUUCUUGGAAUCUGAACAAAUUGGGUGAGUCCUUAAAGUACCUUAUUAUUCAAUAUUAGAUUUAAAUCAAUUUUCUUAACUUUGUUAAGACCACUUGUGUGUAUGGUCCAAACUGUUACCAAAGUUGCAUGUAUUUCCUAUGGUCAUGAUAGUACAGGCUGACUUUUAUUACCUGAACCAGCUUCUUUUUCUGAGAAAGAACACAGUGACAUACUCUAGUGGUAAACUUUAACUGUUUAUAACUAUUUCCUCUUGUAAUAUGAAGUUUUCUUGAUUAAGUGUGUUCUGCCAGCAUUCUUUGCCCCAAAGAAAUUCAUGGAAGCUAUAUUAAUUAAGAAACUGUUGACUAGUGUUGCACAUUUCUUAUUGGAUAGCUCUGACUUAAUUAUUAACCCAUAACCACUAAUCAAUGUAUUUCCAUGUGGUCUUAGCUUAUCGGGAAUGCCACACCUGCAACUCCUUUGCCUACUGCAUCUCCACAGAGGAGAGAUUAAUUUCCUUUUUGACCCUGCUUAUAUAAUGUUACUGCCCAGCUAUGUCACUUCCUGCCUCUGUACAGACCUCCUGACUAUGGUUAGCUAGCGGCAGUUUCUGCCCAGCUACAUCACUUUCUGGGAUCACAUGAUGAUUCCUCUGCCUACAUUUCCCACAAUCCCCCUGAUAACAUAGCUCCACCUAUCUUUCUGCCCUAUUGUCCAAGAGUGCUUUAUUAAUCAACCAAUAAGACAAACAUAUACACAAAGAACAUUCCCCAACAUCUCCUCUUUUCUGCCUAAAUAAAAAGAAGGGUUUUAACUUUAACAUAGUAAAAUUUAUCACAAAACAGUUAUCGGGUAAGAAUUAUAUUUAGUCCAUUAAUAUUUAGCAUGAUUUAUAGAAAAUAUUCUAUCUUCUAUCCUAUCUUUGUGAGUCUAAAGUCUUAUAUAUAACUUAUAUAUUAUCAUAACUAAUGGAACCAUAACCACAACUCUCUAUCUUCAACUCCAUCAAAGACCACAGAAGGAUAAUAUAUAAACUCUAGAAUUGACAGAGACAUCUCACUGCCUGGACAGUGACCCAAAGCUCCUUUAUAAUGUUGAGACAUCUAUCUUCAGCCUACACAUCAUAGUGUGUCUGAUAGACUUCUCAGCAAAGCAGAAUAUUUGAAACUGUCCUCCUGCAUUGUCAGUUUGUCAGUCAUUUUUUCAGUGUCCUGAUGAAUGUCUGGCAGACACUUUAAUGAAGCAGGAACCCUUCAGGACGGUCCUUCUUGAUUUGCAAGUUCAGCAGUCACUUUCCUAUAGGUCCUGCUUGUCCAGUUUAUACAGCAAUAGCCAAACAGUCUAGGCAAGAGCAGUUUCUUGCCCAAUGGCUAGUCUCACCAUAUUGAAAGCAAAUUCCAUAACAAGUUUCUUCGAUGCCCAUCUUACUCUCAGAUAAAAUUGGCAUUACCAGGAGCAGUUAUGUCUCACUGUCAUGAAAAACCCUAAACUAUUUUAAAUGACGUAUUAUGCAGGUCUUUGAAAGGAUUUAAGAAUAUCUAUCCAUUUGAAAUAUCAUUUUAAAUCUAGAAAAUCUAAUUAAAAUAAGUUUUGACUAUUAUAGGUGACCUUAUAUAAUCUGUAUUUAGUAAUACAUCACAUUUUUAAAAGAACUGUAUAAACACAAUGCCUGAACAAGAGGAGAAAAUCACAUAACACAAAAUUGGUAUCAAUAAAUGAAAAUCCAUUGCAAUACAAAGUAUUCAUUUCUAUAACAUAAUUUUUCUUUUUCUUUAAAAAUAGUUUGGCUGUGAUACUUAACCAUUUAUAACCAAUCCCAUUUAAGUAAAAACAAACAUUUAUAAAAAUUGUUUGUGAUUGUGUGUGUCAUUUUCUCAAAACUUCUUCCUGCAGUUUGGGGGCACUAUUUUGGGAAUCUGAAGAAGACCCAGAAAUCCUGGCUGUAGUGGUCUGUGACUAUAUAAUCUCAGAAGUUUUUGGAUUUUGUAUCACCUGGGCCACUUCUUCAGGGGUGUCUUUCUUGAACAAACAAUAUUAGUCUGGUAGGAUCGAUAGCUUUUCAUUUUCUGUGGAAACAAGAACAGAAACUCUUUUCACAUGUAUCCUGUCCUUAUACUUAAAUUUUGAAGUCAAAGCAUUUUUAAAAUAUAUAACUUGAAUUAAUCCAGUAGCUUUUCUUUUAGUAAUUGUUGCUUCUUCCUCAGAAAUCAAAAUUUUCAGAGAUAACACAAUAACAUAAAGUAUGCAGAUGCUGUCUUUUCCAUCUAUCUAUCUCUCUCUCUCUCUAUCUAUCUAUCUAUCUAUCUAUCUAUCUAUCUAUCUAUCAUCUAUUUAUUAUUCUAUUUCUUUCACUUUUAUUUUUUUCAUUUCUUGAGACAGUUUUCAUUUCUUGGGAAGUUUACCACCCCAGCUCACAACCUUUCCUGUGCUUUAUGGAUGAAAUGAUGUUGUUAAGAAGGGGUAUGGUACUCCUUGGAAAUCUUACCUUGAAGCUAAAAUGUAGCAAGCUUUGAGGUAAACAGUGGUUAUAGAAGAUUUGUUUCUUUCUCCAUUUAGAGGCAAUAAUUUCAUUGUGUUAUGCAAUGCCUUAUUUUCAAUUCUUGAUUAAAGAAAUAUGUCUGUAUAGUUCCUUUGGAAUAAAUACUUAUGUAUCUUUAUGUAGAAUGAUAUAUACACUUUAUACACUUAUGAAGUUAUCUGGCCAGGUUUUCCAUCCAUGUAUGUUUUGGUAAGAAUUUCCAGGACCAAAUAACUUGUAUUUAAUAUAUAACCACAUAUUUACAGUAAUGUGCUACUACACUAGCCCUUAAUGAUUUCAAAACUCUGUUGAAGAGAAUGCAUUAUGAAUUUAAACUAUCAAAGAAUUAUUUAUGCUAAGUUUGCAAGAUGCUUUCCUUUUGGUAAUAAUUUAAACAAGUAGAGAUAUGGCAAUUGUCUUAUUGCUCAAUUCAUACUUCUUUCCUUCUAAAUGUCUGUAAUUUCUUUCUCAAAUAGAUACAUAUGAAGUUUAACAAACACACUUCUCUAAUACUCUGAUAUAAUCUCAAUGCUGUGUUCCUGUGAAUAUAUAUGUAAACACUUAACCUAAGGUCCUCCAGCAAAGUUCCCCUUGAUCUAGAACUACUUCCUUGGCUCCUCUACCAUCAUAUGGCCCUCUCCAAUUUUCUUAAGCUAAUACACUGUUUAUUAAUUCGUAUUUUCAAUAGACAAUGCAUUCAAGCAUAUAUGUAGGACUGUGAUUACUCUUGAAACAUUCUUAAAAUAGAUGGGACUUGAACUCUUAAGUUUAUUUGAUUGUAUUAUAGUAAGUCAGUGCAAGGGAUUCAGUUCUAUGUCCUUACAUUUACACACCAGAACAUCUUUGGUAAUUAAUAGUUUGCUUCCAAUCCUCAGAAUCUUCACAGGUAAUUAUAGACCAAGACUUUCUUGGUUGAAGGAUUUAGAUGAAAGUAUAUUAACGACAAUGGAGUUUUGUGACAAAGUAUAUAGCAGGUAACUUUGAACAGAAAAUUUAUAUGUGAUAUGUGUGUUUGUUUACUGUAUAUAAUUGGUCUUUUGACAAUUUGAAUCAUGUAUGUAAUACAUUGUGGUCACACUCAACCUACUCUAAUCUCGUAUUCACCUCCUCAAAAUCUCCUCUUCCAAGAUGUCCCCCUCUCAUUAUUAUACCUUUUAGAAUUUUGGAUUUAUUUUAUAACCAACUGAAUUUAACCAGAGUUAUGUGUAUGACCAUGAAUGUAGAGCUAUCCAAUGGAGAGUGGAUGACUCACUAGUUAUUCCAGCACUGAAGAUGUAAAAGUGUUUCCCUUAGAAGCCAUCUAUUGCUAAUACUUCCCCAGAGAGCUGCCAGACUUCAUGAGCCUCUCCGUGACUGAAUGUCUUCUGCAGGUUCUGCAUCGAACUUGGAAGCAACC